GAAACAAGGCAGUGUUUGGGGAAAACUUGCAACCUAGAAAUGAGAACUGCAUCACCUAAUAUCCUUCAUAGAUUCAGCCUGAUGUGGGUGCUGUCUUCAUAUACUUCAACUGAACUAUGGAAUUAAGUGACAGUAGUGUAAGGAUAGCCUAAGCCAGUAGCGUUUAAAUGUUUGGAGCAGGUUUUCUACUUGGAAGACUCUAUUUUGCCAUAGCAAAGGAGGUAAACUCUUCAGUUCCCUGUUCAGCCACACCACUUCAUCUUACAGCACAGGGGGACAACUCACUCCUGCAUCUUUA